rnacentral:rRNA from 1 species
AGGAAGGCUCUCGGGUUGUAAACCUCUUUUCUCAAGGAAGAUAAUGACGGUACUUGAGGAAUCAGCAUCGGCUAACUCCGUGCCAGCAGCCGCGGUAAUACGGAGGAUGCAAGCGUUAUCCGGAAUAAUUGGGCGUAAAGCGUUCGUAGGUGGUUUUGUAAGUCUGCUGUUAAAGCGUGUAGCUCAACUACAUAUAGGCAGUGGAAACUACAAGACUUGAGUGCGUUCGGGGUAGAGGGAAUUCCUGGUGUAGCGGUGAAAUGCGUAGAGAUCAGGAAGAACACCGGUGGCGAAGGCGCUCUACUAGACCGCAACUGACACUGAGGGACCGAAAGCUAGGGGAGCGAAUGGGAUUAGAUACCCCAGUAGUC